GGUGAUUUAGCUUGGUGGUGUAAGCAUCUGCCUGGCAAGCACAAGGUUAUGAGUUCAAUCCCCG
rnacentral:tRNA from 1 species